ACCUGGGUGGCUCAGUCGGUUAAGCAUCUGACUUUGGCUCAGGUCAUGAUCUCACGGUUUGUGAGUUCGAGCCCCACUUUGGGCU
rnacentral:tRNA from 1 species